rnacentral:rRNA from 1 species
UACGGGGGGGGCAAGCGUUGUUCGGAAUUACUGGGCGUAAAGGGCUCGUAGGCGGCCAACUAAGUCAGACGUGAAAUCCCCAGGCUCAACCUGGGAACUGCGUCUGAUACUGGUUGGCUUGAAUCCGGGAGAGGGAUGCAGAAUUCCAGGUGUAGCGGUGAAAUGCGUAGAUAUCUGGAGGAAUACCGGUGGCGAAGGCGGCAUCCUGGACCGGCAUUGACGCUGAGGAGCGAAAGCCAGGGGAGCAAACGGG